AAAUUGAAGAGUUUGAUCAUGGCUCAGAUUGAACGCUGGCGGCAGGCCUAACACAUGCAAGUCGAACGGUAACAGGAAGCAGCUUGCUGCUUUGCUGACGAGUGGCGGACGGGUGAGUAAUGUCUGGGAAACUGCCUGAUGGAGGGGGAUAACUACUGGAAACGGUGGCUAAUACCGCAUAACGUCGCAAGACCAAAGAGGGGGACCUUCGGGCCUCUUGCCAUCAGAUGUGCCCAGAUGGGAUUAGCUUGUUGGUGAGGUAACGGCUCACCAAGGCGACGAUCCCUAGCUGGUCUGAGAGGAUGACCAGCCACACUGGAACUGAGACACGGUCCAGACUCCUACGGGAGGCAGCAGUGGGGAAUAUUGCACAAUGGGCGCAAGCCUGAUGCAGCCAUGCCGCGUGUAUGAAGAAGGCCUUCGGGUUGUAAAGUACUUUCAGCGGGGAGGAAGGUGUUGUGGUUAAUAACCGCAGCAAUUGACGUUACCCGCAGAAGAAGCACCGGCUAACUCCGUGCCAGCAGCCGCGGUAAUACGGAGGGUGCAAGCGUUAAUCGGAAUUACUGGGCGUAAAGCGCACGCAGGCGGUCUGUCAAGUCGGAUGUGAAAUCCCCGGGCUCAACCUGGGAACUGCAUUCGAAACUGGCAGGCUUGAGUCUUGUAGAGGGGGGUAGAAUUCCAGGUGUAGCGGUGAAAUGCGUAGAGAUCUGGAGGAAUACCGGUGGCGAAGGCGGCCCCCUGGACAAAGACUGACGCUCAGGUGCGAAAGCGUGGGGAGCAAACAGGAUUAGAUACCCUGGUAGUCCACGCCGUAAACGAUGUCUACUUGGAGGUUGUGCCCUUGAGGCGUGGCUUCCGGAGCUAACGCGUUAAGUAGACCGCCUGGGGAGUACGGCCGCAAGGUUAAAACUCAAAUGAAUUGACGGGGGCCCGCACAAGCGGUGGAGCAUGUGGUUUAAUUCGAUGCAACGCGAAGAACCUUACCUGGUCUUGACAUCCACAGAAGAAUCCAGAGAUGGAUUUGUGCCUUCGGGAACUGUGAGACAGGUGCUGCAUGGCUGUCGUCAGCUCGUGUUGUGAAAUGUUGGGUUAAGUCCCGCAACGAGCGCAACCCUUAUCCUUUGUUGCCAGCGGUCCGGCCGGGAACUCAAAGGAGACUGCCAGUGAUAAACUGGAGGAAGGUGGGGAUGACGUCAAGUCAUCAUGGCCCUUACGACCAGGGCUACACACGUGCUACAAUGGCGCAUACAAAGAGAAGCGACCUCGCGAGAGCAAGCGGACCUCAUAAAGUGCGUCGUAGUCCGGAUUGGAGUCUGCAACUCGACUCCAUGAAGUCGGAAUCGCUAGUAAUCGUGGAUCAGAAUGCCACGGUGAAUACGUUCCCGGGCCUUGUACACACCGCCCGUCACACCAUGGGAGUGGGUUGCAAAAGAAGUAGGUAGCUUAACCUUCGGGAGGGCGCUUACCACUUUGUGAUUCAUGACUGGGGUGAAGUCGUAACAAGGUAACCGUAGGGGAACCUGCGGUUGGAUCACCUCCUUACCUGAAAGAA
rnacentral:rRNA from 3 species